UUCUUAAUUAUCGUUUUUCUCAGACUUCAGAGAUUCGAGUGUAAAAUCUUCGGCGGGCGCGCGCCCGCUCUCGCCGACGGCGGCCGAAACCGACGUCCCGCCGAAGCAACAGGGAGUACAACAUGGUGUGAGAGUACCGCGCGGGGCGCGACCUCGGUAAUGAUCCUUCCGCAGGUUCACCUACGGAAA
rnacentral:misc_RNA from 1 species